UUUGAUUGUUUUAAGUGCUAUACUUGUUCACACGUCAUAUAUUUUGUCAAUAGAGUUUACAUUUUUGUCUUUUCAGUUUUAAUUGAGGUCAUUUAAUAUGAGAACAAUGUAGCUAGUUUGUCGUCUUCUCUUCCAUUAUAUGAACAUGAUUUUAACAUAAAAUAUGUAAUUCAUACUCAUACUUAUGGGCAUUUAUAAAUAUGUAACAUUUACAUUGUAGGGGGGUAUAACCAUUAGUAAUUAUUUACCAGAAUGAAGCACAAAGAAAAAGAAUAAUGAAACUAGGAGAAAAUGUGGUGGUUUUAGAUGUUACAUAUAAAGGUUUUUCCUGGGCAUGAAAUACCAUUUCCUUGGUGGGUAUGCCAAUACAUGUAGCAGAGUAGAGGACUUAAUAAUCUUACUCCAUGUAAAUGUAACUAUGUUUUAUGACAACCUAGAUGAACUCGCAAAGAUUAGUCGCUUGAAAAAUAUGGGAGGACAAAGGGAAGACAAAAGUAAAUAGACAGCAGAAAAUAUGCUCAAGGCAGAACUUGAACAAAUGGUGCAAUGGACUUCAUCCACAGAAUGCACUGUUCCAUCACAGACAGCAUUUGGGACGAUUUAUAAUGUAGACAUUGUCAAUGAAGUGUGCAACUGUCCAGCUGCAACAACAAGAGGGAUGUGUAAGCAUGUUCAUUUAGCCGAAUUUAUUGCGUCUAAAAGGAACAUCGACCUCACUGUAGGGCGCAGAUCUAGAGGUUUUGUCCAGAUUGGGAAAUGUAUCAGUUGUUUAUUUGACCUCAUUUAAAUGUACAUGUUUUGCCAAUAGCCAUGGUAUACAUUGUAUUUGUGUGAUGGUAGCAAAAAAAUGGUAUUUUCAUCACCUGACAUAGAGUCUACCCCAAUUGAUGAAACAAGACAACAAUUAAAGGAAGACAAAGAAACAACCGAACAGGCUAUUAAAAGAAAAAUUGAGGGAAUAUAUAUGUAAACAAUGAUAACUUCCUGACAAUUGACGUGAAAAAAAGACUUUUUUACAAGCAAUCACAACGGCAUUACAUAUUUGUAAGACAACCAACUUUUCCAAAACAACAAGAAAGCGAAAGCAACAUCCGCUGUUUCCAAGCAGAAAAUCCAAAAGUUCAAAAACUGAGCAUUACUCUUCAGUAAGCCGAAAGUGUGUUGUAAAAAACAGGGGCGAAAAGUUAAUGAUGAUGGCAGUUUCAAAUCGACCCACAGAAAGAAAGAAUCCAUUCGUUAACUAUUUCAAUGACCAAAAUAAUGAAAUAUUAUACUGAUUUAGAAAAACUGCUUUUUCUUGAUAUUCAUUCAAAAAAUGUAUAUGUUACAUUGGUGCAUAAAGGCUUUAAAAGUAGGACAUAUACAGUUUGCUCUUGAUAUGUUUUGCAAAGAUACUGAUGUUACCAAAUGUAUAUAAUUUAAUAUAACUAAUACCUAUUCCUAAUGAAGAUUUUUGUCAAAUAGAUAAAUUGGCUAUAUAUAUACAUUUGACUAGGUCUGUUUGCUGUCUCAAGUAGGUAAUAUGUUUUAAGCAAAUGAUCAAAUAUGUUUGAAGUUAAGAUAAUACGUGUGAUGCGUCUAAUAGAUCAUUACCUGGCAGCAUUGUCUCUAUUGUCUU